rnacentral:rRNA from 1 species
AGGACUAACGCUGGCGGCGUGCCUAACACAUGCAAGUCGAACGAAGUAGCAAUACUUAGUGGCAGACGGGUGAGUAACACGUAGUCAACCUACCUCUUAAUGGGGGAUAACUAGCCGAAAGGUUAGCUAAUACCGCAUACGAUCGUCGAGUGGCAUCACUUGACGAUGAAAGGAGCAAUCCGUUGAGAGAGGGGACUGCGUCCCAUUAGUUAGUUGGCAGGGUAAUGGCCUACCAAGACUCCGAUGGGUAGCUGGCUUGAGAGAGCGACCAGCCACACUGGAACUGAGACACGGUCCAGACUCCUACGGGAGGCAGCAGUGAGGAAUUUUCCGCAAUGGGGGAAACCCUGACGGAGCGACGCCGCGUGUGGGAAGAAGGCCUUCGGGUCGUAAACCACUGUCGAGGGGGACGAUAUUGACGGUACCCCUGGAGGAAGCCCCGGCUAACUACGUGCCAGCAGCCGC